GAUGAACGCUGGCGGCGUGCCUAAUACAUGCAAGUCGAGCGAACGGACGAGAAGCUUGCUUCUCUGAUGUUAGCGGCGGACGGGUGAGUAACACGUGGAUAACCUACCUAUAAGACUGGGAUAACUUCGGGAAACCGGAGCUAAUACCGGAUAAUAUUUUGAACCGCAUGGUUCAAAAGUGAAAGACGGUCUUGCUGUCACUUAUAAAUGGAUCCGCGCUGCAUUAGCUAGUUGGUAAGGUAACGGCUUACCAAGGCAACGAUGCAUAGCCGACCUGAGAGGGUGAUCGGCCACACUGGAACUGAGACACGGUCCAGACUCCUACGGGAGGCAGCAGUAGGGAAUCUUCCGCAAUGGGCGAAAGCCUGACGGAGCAACGCCGCGUGAGUGAUGAAGGUCUUCGGAUCGUAAAACUCUGUUAUUAGGGAAGAACAUAUGUGUAAGUAACUGUGCACAUCUUGACGGUACCUAAUCAGAAAGCCACGGUUAACUACGUG
rnacentral:rRNA from 1 species